AAAUUGAAGAGUUUGAUCAUGGCUCAGAUUGAACGCUGGCGGCAGGCCUAACACAUGCAAGUCGAGCGGCAGCGGGAAAGUAGCUUGCUACUUUUGCCGGCGAGCGGCGGACGGGUGAGUAAUGCCUGGGAAAUUGCCCAGUCGAGGGGGAUAACAGUUGGAAACGACUGCUAAUACCGCAUACGCCCUACGGGGGAAAGCAGGGGACCUUCGGGCCUUG
rnacentral:rRNA from 1 species